UUUAAAACACCACUUCCUGUACGAUCACCGAAGUUAAGCAACAUCGAGCCUGGUCAGUACUUAGAUGGGUGACCGGUUAGGAAUACCAGGUGCUGUAAG